ensembl:lncRNA
AGUAUGUUGUGUUCAAUUGUAUUUUGCAUGCUGCUGUUCUUCUAUUUUAUAAUCUUGUGUUUUCUUUUUGCUGUUUUCCUCAGUUGUUUUGUUUGCUGUGUUAAGUCAACGUGCCUGUUUUUUAUAAUGAUUUGUGCCUACCUUGGUUUUUAUUGUUUUCUCUAAUACAACCUUUUUUCUUAAUUACAACAAACAUGUCUCUGCCUUAUCCACAGUAACUCAUUUGCGUAGGUAUUUAAAUCUAUAUUUCUUGGGCUGUAAGUCCCCAGGUGGCGUCACAGUUACAUUGGUGGUUCUUGUUCUCAAUAACUGUUAGCAGGCUAAAACCACAAAACUUCAGAGACAGAUGUGCCUGGAGAUGAAGACCGAAUAUCUUGUUAGGCGCACAGCUAACUGGCACCCCAAGCAACCAGUCGUACCGUUACUAGCAGUCCCUUUAAGAGAGACAGUAGUUUUGUCCCAAUUUCGCUAGGCUGCAUCAUUAGGCUGCAGAUACGUCACUUCAGCUGCGACUCGCCUGUUCGCCAUUCAGUCGACUUCUCCAAACACGGUCGAGGAAUGCUGCCGAUUUGGAGGACACAUCGGGCAUACCCCAUCAUGCAAUGCGAGCCAAUGCGUUCGAAGGUGAGGUGACUAUCAAAGAUGAUGCCGAGGUGACAGACAGAGGCGUGCAAUGUUUUUGAGAUGGAAGAAUGCAGUCCUGGUGAUGUUAUUGAUGUGACGUUACAAAGGUGAGGUGACUAUCAAAGAUGAUGCCGAGGUUACGGAUGUGGGGGGAGGGAGACCGAGUGGAGUUUUCAAUGUUGAUGGCGAGGUUAUGGUGAGGGAUUUGGCAUCGAUGAUGAAAUAUCCUUUGUCACAGUUGAGUUUGAGAAAGUUUAUUUGUAUCCAGGAUUUAAUUUCACUGAGACAGUUGGUGAGGGUGGAGAUUGUAGCAGGGGUGAUGGAGGUAGUGGGAAAGUUGGAUGUCGUCGGCGUAGCAGUGGAAGCGGAGUCCAUGACUGCGUAUGAUGUUGCCGAGGGGAAGCAGGUAAAGGAUGAACAGAAGGGGGACCAAGCACCGAAACCCUGGGGGACGUCUUGGGACAAAGGGGCAGGGGAGGAGGUGCAGUUGUUGGUCAGUGAGGUAAGAUCUGAGCUUGGAGAGGAGAGUGCUGGUGAUACUGGUGGUGGAUUCAAGCAGUGUUAAUUUUGGCAGCUCUUUUUGAUUUUUGAACUCAGACAUUUUAGUCUAGUUUUAGUCAACAAAAACUAAACUAAAAUGUAAUUUGUUUUAGUCUAGUUUUAGUCACAUUUAUUAGCCAUAUUAAACUCCUUUUUUCCCCUUCUCAGGCCCAGGGACCCCCUGUGUUGUGUCUACAACUGCAUAAUAGUCUACCUUGCAGUACUUGGAUGUCCAUUAGAUGUCCCUCCUAGGACAGGUCUAUAGCAGGGGUCGGCAAACUUUUUGACUCGCGGGCCACAAUGGGUUGUAAAAUUUGACGGAGCCGGGCCAAGAACAAAUGGUUGAAGUGUUUGUGUGAGCGAAUAUAAAUAAAUAAACAUGUGAAAAAUCAUUAUAUGAAAGGAUUUGGAUUUUAACAAAUAGCAAACGAACGUACGGUCACGAUGUGGCGUGUUAACUGCAGUUGAAAUGCGUGAGGCUUCAGAACCUGCAAUGAGUUUAUUAUGUGAAGCCUGUAACGGACCGUCUCAUCCAGCCGAGGAAACGCUGCCUGCCGUCGCCAGAGAACAGAGCAGAAAGGUCCGCGUGGAUCUCUGCUGGCCGACAGUCUGUUCAACGGGUCUUCAUGUUUCUCUGAAGCAGCCUGCUAACAGUCAGCUAAACUAAUGAAGCGCACAUUCAAACUCGCCGAAGCGUAAAAUAGUUGUUGCGGCCCGUAGUCGGACAAGAACUACUGCUGCACCAAUUUGAACCCGUUCUGGGUUCGUGGAUGACGUCAUCAUGACACGUUAAUAUCCGCCGUAUGUGCAUGUCUGUUGUCUGUUAGCUGCGUAUGAAUUUAGGGGGAAAAAGUAUUGUGACUUCGUCAACCACCAACAUGUUCGUCUCGUCUCGUUAACGAAAGUUAGAAUAGAUUGUCAUAGUUUUUAUUUUUUAAGAUAGUUUUCGUCACGUCUUAGUCAUGGAAAAAAGGUUUGUUAACGAAAAAAGGGAGAGAAUUGAGUGGUUAACGAUUGUCGUGGUCGAUGGCUCCAGCAGCUUUGCAAAAGGCUGCGUGUAUUCAACCAAGCGGUUGCAGCAAACUUAUUAAGUACACCGUUCAGUUAACUUAAAGCCAUUUAAAAUAUAUUUCUGGAAGUGGUAAUGACAUAAGCCAUCCAACAUGAGCUAGGUGAAGGGAGAACAUUGAUGUUAGCUGAAUAUUACAUAGCAUUAAAAGUUGAUUACAAUUUCAAUGACCUGAAAAUGGUCAUCUCUCAGCCUGAAGUACAUCAUGCGGCGGGGAUGACCGUCUUCCAAAAUCAAAUAAACCUAAAAAGAGCGCAGAUGGUUUAUGAGCGACAUGAGAAAUUAAGUACAGCUGUUGACGCAAGCAGGAAGUCCCCCUGUAGGCCAGACCGUCUCAUUUUGUCGACCAGGUCUACCGAGAAGGCUGGAGAUUACAAGGAUCCAGUUUAGCGACAUUGAGACACUGCUAUUGUUAUGCUAUAUGGAGGCCAAAAAAAAAAGAUCUGCUUGUUCUGUACAGUAGGAUUUUAAUAAAAGUUGCAAAAUGAAGAUGGAAAUUUAUUUUUGGACACACUGGCAUUAAAACCUGAUUGUCAGAAAUAUUAAACCAUGAAGCAGAGAGAAAGUAGCCAAUCGUAUGCAACGAUUGUAUGUCACCAAUACCUUCCAGCUGUGCUUGAAAGUCAUUUUGACUUUAGGCAAUUUCACCAUGUGAGGAAACACACUUUCAAAAAGCCCCCCUGAAAAAACAGAUUAUUGAAUAAUUCAUGCCAUUACAUUAUUAAUCAGCAGUAGAUUUUCCUGAAUGGUUACUGUUGUCUCGCACUCUAUUGCUGUUCUUAGGUGACAAAAUGCUGCACUCAAAGCUUUUUAGAGGAUAUCUUAUGACGAGGAAGGGUCAAUGGAACUCUUCUGAACUUUUUAUGGAGGGCACAAUCUCAGCCGGUCCCCCCUCAUCAACCCAUAAUCAUCUUUUUAUAGUGGCUUUCUUUUGGGACUGUCUCAAAUCUACUUUGCUGUAACUCACAUUACGAUUGCCCGUCAUCCAGUUUUUAUUACUUCUCCAUUAGAGUAAAUGUUUAAUUCGUCCUUGUCGCUGCAAGACAUCUAAAGGGUUGUGGGCACUCAACUCAACAACAGCCUCUUUUUAGAGGGAAGGAGCCGAUAAGCUGACUUGUACUGUCAGUAUCAGUCAUCAGAGGGUUGUCUGCAGUGCAAAAGAUGACUUUAUCUGAUUUGUCAUCCAUACGGGGUGGUGCCAGCAUCAUUGCGCUGCCUGUGGUGAACGCUCUGCCUCGUGCAGGCUACCGUUUCUGUUUAGGUCACUAAAUCCUAAACUGACUUCAUUCCAGGACUCUGGAUUGUGGGCGACUGUGGGUGAGUGGGGCGCACGGUCGUCCUCCAAUCAGAGGGUUGUCGGUUCGAUCCCAGGCUAACCUGCAUGGUGUUGUGUCCUUGGGCAAGGCACUAAACCCAACAUUGCUCCUGUAGCUGUGACUACAGUGUGUGAAUGGUAGUUACUGAUGGCAGGUAUCACUGUGUAUGGUUCUCCUGUCAUCAGUGUAUGAAUGGGUGUGAAUGGGUGAAUGAUGUCAUGUAGUGUUAAAGCGCUUUGAGUGGUCAGAAGACUAGAAAAGCUCUAUACAAGUACACAUGACAUGAUUAAUGAUGAUUUCAUGUUAAUCAUGAAAUCAUGUUGGAAGUAGAGAUGCUCCGAUCAGGUUUUUUGGUACCGAUCACUGAAAUCAGCAUCCAGCCGAUCCGAUAAUACCGAUCACGGUGUUGAUUUAAGCAUUCUAUUUAUUGUGUAGCUUUAUUCAUGAAAUGAAUUAUUCAACAACAUUGGUUUUGUAUUUUAAGUAUUUAAAUUACGAGACGAGAGAGUAUCAUGAAUUGACAACCAUCCGUUUUAUUGCAGGGAACGUGCAACAUUCCAAUGUAGAAAAGCUCUCUCGCUUACUAUAAAAUGUGUAAAUAAUAAUAAAUAUUAAAACAAUAAUAAAAAUAUAAAUCUUUAAAUGAAAAUCACAACAAUAGAAUAACAUGUGCAACAUUCCACUCUCUAGAGGCUAUCAAUAGAAAUUGGAGCUUAUAGGAGGAGAUAACAGACAGAAUAAAGAUUAAAGGUGCACAGGAAGUCAGCAAUUAAACAAAACAUGUAUAUCUAUCUGUAUAGUGUCUCACUCACUCACAUACUUCACUCACUCAACUCACUCGGAGAGGGGGCAUGCUAGAGUAUUCAAACCUUACUUCUGAUUAAGCAGCAUCACUGGCAGAUUUGCCUUGAUAAAUAUAAGCAUCUCAGCAUUUUUAGGAGUCAACCUGUUCCUCUUCUCAUUCUAAAAUAUGUCCUGCUGUGCUGAAAAGUCGCUCGCUAUCUACACUUGUACAAGGUGCGGAGAGGACGACUCGUGCUGCUUAAUAAACUGUGCAGUUAGGCUCAGCAUAGACACAGGACAGACACUCGGAACUCCAAAUGUCACUCGUGAAGCUAACUGCCCUGAUGUUGUCCUUCAUAAGGCUCUCGAUGUGCGUGUAGACAUUUCGGUAUAAUUCCGGCAGACAAACAUCAGUUAGGUAUUUUCGGCCAGGCAGCGUAUAGCGUGGAUCCAAGCAGGAUACAAGGCGUUUGAACCCGGCGUCUUCCACAGCAGACAGCGGCUGCUGAUCAAUCAUAUGAAUUCCAUUACCUUUGCAUUUAAUUCCUUUCGUCUCUUGUUGUCAAUGCUCUAUGGUUGCUGUCGUUUUAAUGUCUCUGUUACGGUCAGCUGAGUGAGUGGCGUUUGGGAAGAGGUUGCACGCUCUUUGUCUUUAUCUGCCUUAACGCUCGCCAACUUCGUAAACUCCUCAAAUUCCUUGAUGUGACAAGCUUUCAAAUGCCGUAUGAGGUUCGUGGUGUUGAAACCCCUUUGACGCGUUCCUCCACGGGAACUACUUUUGAGCAGACGUUGCAAACUGCACAUUUAUUAUCUUUUUCCGACACCUUGUAAUAUUGCCAGACCGGUGAAGCCAUUUUGUCUCAGUGGUUUCACCCACCCGCCACCGAAGAUGGGGGCCAAUGAAAUUUAAUAACAUGGAGAGACAGCCAAUCACAAGCUUUUCAAAAACAAAAUCUGAUCGGCCGUUUGAGAUAUGGAUCGGCUCCGAUCAGAUCGGAGCAUCUCUAGUUGGAAGUAACCCAGACCUUUAAUAAGUCAAGUCAUAAGACCGUAGAGACCUGUGAAAAUACCUCACUUUCAUCAGUCAUCUCUAAAUCAGACACAAUCACAUCAAGUUCACAAUAGGAAAGUCAGUGAUCAUGCCUACGGUGUGUGUGUGUAUGUAUGUAUGUGUGUGUAUAUAUAUAUGUAUGUAUGUGUGUGUAUAUAUAUAUGUAUGUAUGUGUGUGUAUAUGUAUGUAUGUGUAUAUAUAUAUGUAUGUAUGUAUGUGUGUGUAUAUAUAUGUAUGUAUGUGUGUGUAUAUGUAUGUAUGUGUAUAUAUAUAUGUAUGUAUGUAUGUGUGUGUAUAUAUAUGUAUGUAUAUGUGUGUGUAUAUAUGUAUAUGUGUAUAUAUGUGUGUGUAUAUAUGUAUAUGUGUAUAUAUAUGUGUGUAUAUAUGUAUGUAUAUAUAUGUGUGUAUAUAUGUAUGUAUAUAUAUGUGUAUAUAUAUGUAUGUAUAUAUAUGUAUCAUUGCGUUUGUGUAUAGACUUUUUGUGGAGUCCUGUGGCGAGAGAAAUUUACGUCACGUUAGGUGUGGUAACCCACCAAAAAAUUAGAGGCACAGAUUUUGUUUGUAUUGCCCGCUCAGCAAACACUAAAGCUAAAUCUUCCUUAAAGCUGUUCACCCUUGUAUGAAAUUAUUUUAGAAUGGCCUGUAGCCCGUAGGGAAAUUAACAUGUAGCAAGUUGUCACAGAACAGGUAGUACUGGUAAAAUGAUUUGUGUUUAGGUCCAGGGGAUUUAAUUACCACUGAGCCCUCUGGCUGCCUCAGCUACAAAGCAGGCUAUCUGAUGUGUGAAACACCAUGCACUGUCCAGAACAAACAAAGGAUUUGAGACCUUGCAUGGAGUUCAGUUCACUUAGGUGAACAUACAGAGGCAGACAAUAAACAAACACACCCAUAUUUUUGUCCAAACAAUCAAAAAAAUGAUUCAAGCUCUUCUUAUAACGUGACACAUUUGAAAUACUGUUUAAUUAUAUCAAUUUCAAAAAAACAUUCACCUUUUAAUGGAUAAAACAAAAAAAGAUAUACUUUAAUUUAUUAUACAAAUUUAGAUGGGGUGUAUUAUCAACUCAUUAAAAAUGAGUUUGUGCAUGUCCCGGAUCACGCGCUCUGAUGUCUUUCCGCUUUUUUCCGUGACUGCGAGCGGCUUGCAUGAGAAGAAACCUUCUCAAUAUCAACCUGACCGCAGGCCAAGGUCCUGUUGUGCCAAGUCCCAAUUUACCCUUGUUGAGUCUUUGUGUGUUAUUUCUCAACAAAUCUGAAAAUCCAUAGCUAUGAUAGUUUUCUAGAUUGUUUUAUGCAAUAUUAUACUUCCAUUAGCAAUGUAAUUAUGCAUAUGCAGGAAAUAUUUACUUGUAUACUCUUCAGUCCAUUCAUUGGUAAGUAACUUUAAUUUGUUAGAAUGUAGCUCGCUUUCAAUUAAGGCUUCCAUUCUGCAAUAAUUGUGCAAUGUGGAACGGCUUUAAUAAUUUAGCUGAUAUUGCUUGGAAUUUGCAGGCUAGCUAACGGUUACGUUAGCUGACAUGACUAGCAUUAUCGAGCAGACCGGGUACACCCUACUAUAACUACGACGUGGACACAGUGCCAAAGCCUUCCUUGUGAACUUUAUCAGGGUUCAUUCACAUUUCGACCAAUAGAUUUUCCAUGACUUCAAACUAAAUUUCUGUGACCAAAUCAUGAAAAAGUGAGACAAUGAGAAUUUCAAGGCAUAUACAUGUUUACAAUUAUCCACUAUGGAUGGGUAUCGUUUGGGUUUUUCCUGAUACCAGUGCUAAAACAAAUACCAAAUAAUAACAACAACCUAAAAGUGCCUAAACAGUGCAUGAACCAAUACUUUUUAUCUUACAUACAUGAACAAUUUCACCACCAACACUAUUGGUGUGACAGGAGCAUUUCGGCCCGUGUGUGAGAGAGUGUACGUCAGUAUUUCGUGUGUAGGUGUCAGGAUCCCACCAGCUUCAGUCACUCCUCCCACUCGUUCACAGCCCCGAGUUCUACAGAUGCUCACGCAACCUACCCGCUAUGUACCUAAACCCCUUCCGCAUCCGUAACCUGACACUUGGACUAACAAUAUUUUAAUGUCAAUUGUCAAUGUCAAUUUCAUUUAUAUAGCACUUUUAAAGGCCAGUGGCCAGCCAAAGUGCUUUACAGGAUAAAAACAAUCAGCAUCAAUAAAACAAUUCAAGCAAACAGGAAAAAAACAGUAAAAGGCAAACAAAUAAAAGAUCCAACGCAGGUGACUUAACUCAGCCAAAGGCCAAUGUGAACAAGUGGGUCUUAAGGCGUAUUUUAAAAGUAGAAAGGCUUGUCGCCGACCGCACAGAAAACAGCAAAGCAUUCCACAGUCUGGGAGCCGCUACUGCGAAGGCUCGAUCUCCUUUCGUUUUUAGGAACGAUAUUGUAGCGAACUGAUAAAUUGAGAUGGGAAAGAUGUUAUCUUUUAGUCCGCAACACACACAUUCAGUUACCCACAGCAGCUCUCUCAAGCUGGGCACCGGUUCACUCACAGCACAUUUCAUGCAAAUAUGACAGCACAGGCACCAGCCAAUCAGAUUGCGUUAAUGCUCGCAUCUAAAGAACGCAAAGCUACAAAAAAUGAUGGCGGACCAAACUCCGUAGAAUAGGGGGUCCCUCACCUUUCUGAAACCAAAAUAGGUGACCUACGUGAAUCGUGUAGAUUUGAGGAGUUUUUGGGGGGGGGUGGUAGGGUAAUCAUAUUCAGUGAACUGCGAACAGGGUGAGUGAUGGUUUCAAUAAUUUUAAUAUUUUCUGGUAUAUUUAAGUUAAGUUACCCAGGAGCUUUGUUGACAUAGCUACAGCUUGAUGAGUUGAGUCUAACGUUAGCUGAGUCAUUUAACACAGCAGGAGAGAACGCGACGUUGGAAAUUUUUUUGCUAACGCUACCGUUUUUGAGGAGGUAGAUUUUGAGGUGAGGGGACUGACAAGGCAGAAGGUAAAGUGGUCCGCCGUUCUAUAAAUAAGCAGACCUGCUAACCUGAUACGCAUUUUGACUUCAAAGUACGGUCUAAAAUCAAUUUUAGACUAGUUGACCAGCACACAUUAUAUGCAAUGCAAUAUAAUGCAUGACGAGUAUUUAAUGACUUGUACCCUGUUGUUGUCAAUUCCUAUCCCCCCCCCUCGUCGGUACGUUAAGUGCCCUAUGCACAAACCACAGUAUCGUGCUACAGAUCCAUCAGAUGAGCUAUGAGAAAAUACAGACUGAACUUGGAGGGAUUCUACUCCACUUCUACUUGUUCGCAUGUGACAAGGCCUGCAACUCAACACCAGACCGUUACUCUCAGACCAAUGGGAUGAAGGGUUUUGAGAGGAUAGUCAUUACACACAUCAAAGGAUGUCUACAGAUGAUUGGAAUUGGAAUGAUCACUGGUGGGGAAGAGACAGCGUACAGGAGAGAGUUGGAGGAACUCGUGGCCUGGUGUCAUAAUAAUGUCUCCCUGAAAGCAGAGAAGACCAAGGAGAUGAUUAAAUCACAAAAAAGGCCCAGCGGAGGCUGUACUUCCUAAGAAAGAAGGCUGAGGAAAUUUGGCAUACAAACCAAAACUUUUUACAGAGGUACAGUCGAGUCCUUACCACAUAAAUCACAGUGUGGUAUGGACCCUCCACUGCCCGGGACAUGAAGGUACUCCAGAGUGUGAAAAAACAGCUCAGUUCAUCUCAGAAGCAGCAUUCCCCACACUACAGGACAUUUACUCCACCGGGGUCAUCAGGAGAGCCCAAAACGACAAGGACAGAACACACCCCCAGCACAGACUACAGGAGUCUGUAAUCCAGAACAAAGAGACUGACGACCAGUUUCGACCCGCAGGCCAUCAGGCUGGUGAACAGCUCCCUCAUAAGCCCCCCCCUCUCUGAUAACAGCCCCACGCACAGACAUACACAUGUCAGUGUGUCUCUAUGACUGAAUGCUGCUGGGACAAAAACAUGAUGCACAUUAGCUGCAUGGUUAAUGCCAAUGUAUAUAUUUUUCUAUUUAAGUGUGUGUGUGUGUGUGUGUGUAUAUAUUUAUGUAUUAUACAAAUGUGCAGGUAGGGCACAGCGACAUAAUACAUAUCUUAAAUCCCCUGGAUGUGGUGAGUGAUGGAUUUUCUUAUGGUGUGACUCUCCUCUCCUCCAAUCCCAUGUUACCUUUCACUUUUACAGAUCUAGCCGAUAACCCAUAACAUAUCCACAAAUCCUGACCUCUUUAGUUUGUUUGCCCUGGGAAUAUUGAAGAACCACAGUCCAAAUUACAAAAUGGCAUCUGUCAGGAUCUCCAAUCCCCCCGAGUUGGUUGAUGAGAAGAAUCGCAGCACGUUGAUCAAUUAAAGUCAAAAAGUUAACAUUUAUAUAGAUGAGAAAAAGAUUACAUGAGCAAUUCUCCGCAGAUAUCUGGCUCUAACUAUUGCUUGCAAGCAGGAGGUCAAACACACCAGCACGUAUCUCAGCGCUCUGUGUAAUGACGUCCCCGAGCAGUAAAAACAGCAGUUUUUAUACACAUGUGAAGGACAUUCUCCGUGCCAGUUACGAGAAGCUACAAAGCAGGUUGAGAUAAGAACCCAGGUGAAGCUGAGGGUAGCACACACACACACACAAGAUCCUCCUCAGAGGCCAGUACAAAUCAUAAUUAAUUGACAUAUGGUGAAAACGUGGAUUUGGAACGAAGGUUCCGAAUAAGAUAUGAACCAAGGCCAUGAACAGAAGUCCUUUGUUUUAAAGCUUCUAUGAGAUUGAGUCAACCGCCCUCCCUUCUCAGCGCACAGCUGCAAACUAACAUUUUGUAUCAUGCUGCUCUUUGCACUUCAGGGUCAAAUACAGGACACUUGAGACACGGCCUUAGCACAAAACAAUGUUAUAAUAUAUUUUACCAGUACAUGCAUCUCACACAUCCCAAAACUGCAAUGGAUGUAUUGGUCAAGGAUGUGUCUUGCUCAGGGACACUUCGAUGCAGGACGUGGAGCAGCCGGGGUUCGAACCACAAGCCUUGCGGUCCUCGGCGCAACCUCUCUACUCCGUGCACCACGUCAACCUUUUCUGAGCUGCUUUACAUUUUUUACUUUAAAAAGAUCUGCGGCACAGCAACAGCCAAAUAAGUUACAAAUAGACAAUUUUAAAGACAAGUCUCUCGAUUUGUUGAUCCUUAGUUUUAUGUUUAAGAAUUAAGAAUAGGACCUUGGCACUGUUGGAUAGCUUCUCAUCCCCAGCACACCAAGCAAAUCUAAUGCAGUGCAAUAGGAUUAGUUUUGCUGUUUUACCCUGUUUUUUGUUGCCUAUUUGCUUUACUAAAUGUUCCACCAGGACCAAACGUGAGUUGUGUGUCACGUCUUUAUUUUUUGGGCAGCUGCACCCCACACUCCUUCACCGUCCACCACUACUUACAGUGGGUGCGCAAGUACAGGUGUUUACGUUCCCCACCUCCAACGAGCUACAACUGAGGUGAAAACGUAACACCCGGGCAUCCUUUCAUUCUGUCAUAAUGUAACAAGGUCUUCAGUGCACUGACUACUUCCACAUAAUGGCAUAGAAGUCUUCCGUUUCCAGCCACUAUAUUGCAGCUCAGACAGUCAACAAUGGAAUGUUAUUUGCAGCAACUUUUGCAGCAAUUUGCACUGAUCAGGUGAUAUUGGACAUUUUCACACGGCAUACCUGACUAUCUUUCACGGCACACAGGUGUGUUGCGGCUUAAUGGUUGAAAAUAUUACGGGAAUUGAUUGUGACACGCAAGCCGGAUCAAGGGGGUAGGUGAAGCUUUCUUUCUUGUUGAGCUGCUUAGGCCGGAAGUGACAAAUUGGAGAGUCGGUCCACCAGGGAGUAGUGAAAACAUGGGUCUUCCCAACCAGAGUUGGUCUGGAAAGUAAUGGGUUGAUGAGGCCGAACAGCUGAAAGCUGAAGAGCCUGAAUCUUUAUCAGAUCUCUGGGCUGGUGAGAGAAAUCGGACAUAGGUGUGAGGACCAACUCCUUGCCAGGGUUUUUCGUAGUGUAUCAACAGUGGAGGACAGUUUUAUGCAACAGUGGGGGCACAACAGUUAGGAUUCAGAAGGACGCAGUGUCUUUUAUACAAACUCACUAUCCUCCAUAACUAGUGCCAUUAUAGCUGGAAUUGGGCUAAAACACGGUGUCAAACACUGAAACAUGAAGCUCCUGCUUCAUACUCUUUUGUUCUUUCAAUGGGUGCUCGCAAAAAAUUCCACGGCCUUGUCUGAGCUGCUGCUGAAAUAGUUUUUUUAAGACCCUUUAAACAGGCAGUUUUUGCUGCCUGCAGAAAUUUUGGCUUCACACCUAACUCUAAAGCACACUCAUUCUCACAUCACAGAAGGGCCUCAGCCCAGAGACCGAGCUGGGUUCUGCUCUGUCAGCCGUGACUAUGUAAUGGCCUCUUCGAGCACUCUCUGAAGGCCACAGGUGCAGGCAGAGGCCAGGGUCUCUGGUAGUUCACCCACACACAUGGUGCUGGUCUCUGGGACACAGGAUCAAAGGGCCUUGGCAGCUGUGGUUAAGAGGGUGUUAUAGAGCCAGUGCCUUUGGGCCAACUUUGUCCAGGUUAGGGUUAUGCAUGAGUGUGCAAGAAGUAAUAGAAAUUACUCCAAGAAAUUGGACAUUCUUUAACAUUUAGUGGUCUCCAGUAGAAGCUUCAUUUUGAGUGGACACAGCCAAAAAGUUUGGUAAACCGCUCUCCUAAAGGAUGCAACAAGCUGGUGUCUUUAUUGUUAAUACUUUUACUACGUCAAGUAGAAAGAACAUUGGAGAACAAAUGUUGAACAAAUGUUCAGUAAGCGAGCACCGACUGGAUUCUGAUAGGUGGCUCAUUGUUCACGAUAUUUGUUGUCUGCUCUCGGUAUCUUUAGUGCUCUUAACACUUGGUUUGGUUAAGCAAAGAAAAGUUGUUUCUUUUGUAAUAUUUUACUGUUACUCGUUACUGGUACCGGAACCAGAAAGCAAGACUCAGACAACAAUGAGAGGGACAGGUAGAUUUACUCAAAAGUUCAGGCAAGGUCAAAACCGGGACAUCCGUCGUCAGGCAAACAAAUCCAGAGGGGCAGGCAGAGAAUCGUUGCAAAACGACAAUUUGGCAGAGAACAACAGAGGCCCUUUCUCAAUAUGGGUUCUUGUGUGGACUUGUUGACUUGUAAAACGUCAUCAGUCGCAGCCUGAGUACUGUCCCAAUUCUAAAAUCUGCAUCUGGCCGAGAACGGUUAAAAUACCCAGAUGGGACUCGGCCCACCCAUUUUACCACGCAUGCAUCGGAGCAGGCUCGUCCGUGCUUGUGAGAGCCAAAUAUCCCAGAAUGCAUUUCACCUCAGCAACGGGCAACGACGACAGAGGAGAAUAAACACAAUUGUAAAUUGAAGUUUAUAAACACUACUAAGUAUACUACUCAGUAUCACAGAAUGUAAUUUUAGGACUUUCUCAGACCAGAAGUUAGUUGUUUAAGCAACAUUUCUGCGGUUGGUAUCUUAACAUUCAGCCUUCUUAACAAUUUGCAGUAAACGUUAAACAUUAUUAAACGUUAUUUGAAAUCUGUUUGAUGACUUGGUGUUAUUUCAAUAUGAAUAUAGAAAAAUAUUGAUUGAAUGCAAUGUCAUCAACGAGCGAUUUUUCUCCACUCACACUUAAAAAUGUACAAAAAUUACCUGAAAUAAACUUUCCUGUCUAAACAAAUAAACAUAAACACACAUACGUAGCCCUGAAAUGAUUAAUGGACAACACCCAGCGUCCCAUCCAUCUUUCUCACUCCCCCUGUCUCUCUCUGUACGGCUCAUCUGUGUCCUGUGGCCGACCUCUCCUGCCCUUGAAACUGUCCUCAGACCCUGUGCUCAUGUCUUUUCACAGUCUAUAGACAUGACGUCACAAUGACCUAUGUUUGUGUACAUGUGUCUGCGAUGUAUUUGUGUGUACGUAAUAGAGUUUCAACAUGAGGAAAUAAUGGGAAUUGCCUCUUUCAAAUAGUUGAACUAUGCUAUCCACCGCAGAGAAACCUACUAUGAGGCAUUCACUAGUUUUUGUCCUCCGCUGCACUCUUCCAGUGGUGCAGUCCUUGAAAGUGACAGAUUGAGUCAUUACCAGCAGCGGACAUGUUGUCUCCCCUGGUGAAUCUGCUUUUGUACAGAAUUCGAGGAAUGACACAUCAAUACUUUUGAAAGCCCCAAAUAAGUGCUGCUUUGGGAUCUUAUUUAAGAUAUCCCGUCUCUCACCCGAUGUUGGCUGGCUCCAGCCCUUCGCGAUCCUGUAUGGCAGAUAAACGGUAUUGAAGAUGACUAAUGACUGAUUCAAUGUGGCUCACAAGGAAGAAAACUAUUGACGGCUUUCACUUGUUCAAAAAGGUACCAUAUAAGGUGUCUGAAUUUGAACCCAUCCCAUAAACCCAUUUUCUAAAACUGCAUAAUGUGAUGUUCAGUCAAUUGCCUUACUUUUUAAGCUUUAUCUGUUCAAUUGUCAAGCUUGUUUUUAAGAAAAUUGAGUUAAUUAGGCAUGUUCUAACAACUGGUUUGGAGCAAAUAAACUCUACGGCUCAUCCUGUCUGGUAUGCAUCGAUGAGUUUUUAGGUUUUUCUGUCUCCUCAAAACCCCCUAGUUCUGGGCCACCCUUGGCCUGCCUUUCAUAAUCCUCAAAUUGACUGGGCAGCAGAGAAGAUCGUCUCAUGGAGGCCCUACUGCCAUGCUAACUACCUGAGAUCUGCGCAACCCCCAGGAGGAGAGCCACAGGACUGCUACGUGCCUUUGCCAGAUCUUGGUUAUUACUGAAGAAUGCCACCUGCCCAUCUAUAACUAACAUCCACAUAACUUACACCUCGUAGUCUGGAGCGAUGUUGGAUUUAAGUGUCUUGCCCAAAGACACAUUAACACGUGGGCCAGGGAUCGAAUCGCCAAUCCUCUGAUUGGAGGACAACCGUACUCUCUAAAGUUUCCCAUACAUCACUUCUUUGCUGCUUUAAAAAAAACACGUGUCAAAGUAGGGGUCACUGUGCUUAUUCAUUGAACAUCAUGAAAGACAAACACAGUGAUCAAAAACAGCUGGCCCAAUGUUGCUUGAGCCUCUGGAGCCUGGGAAAAUAAAGAGUCAUCUCUCAAAAUGUUAGACCUGAUUCCUACUAAUGCUUACCAUCCAUUUGUUCCUCAGAAUAAUGUCUUUUUUAAUGUCCUUGCCGCAAAGCAUAUAAAAGAGAAAAAGUACAACGGCAAAUUAAUUCAAUCUGGAACAUUACAGAUUUUAAUCAUGGACUUGAAAGGUAACAGAAUGGAAAGAUGUUUCGCCUGUGCCCACAUAAAUAGAAAUGCGUGUUUCAUUUACUAGAAAGCUCCUUCUUCCUGAGGUUUAAAGGAAAAGCCGAGGCAUUUUAAAUUAGACAUGGGGGCUUGUACUUCUUGACUUGUUUUAUCAGUAAUUACAUUACUCAUCUCUAAAUCACACUCCCAUCAUGCUUAAUCAGGCAAAAAUUGAACACGUGCAAAAAAGAAUAAGGUGCCCUUUUCCAUCAAAGAAAUUAAUUUAUAAGUACAGGGGACAUAUUCUACGCUUUUUCCCAUCUCACUGGAGACCCAUGAGCACCACUUAUUUCAGGCAAUUUGGGUCAUUUGUCUUCCAUUUAGUCAUUAAGAAUGAAUCAAAUUUAGUACUCUGACUAGUGUCAUUGUGCCUAUACUCUUAGGCUUCGCUCUGCUUGUGGAAGAACAAAACGGUUAGAAACCACCACAAGGACAACGGGAAGGUGAGUAAUGAGAGCGCUUCAUAUUUAAAUCACUCCAUUCUAUUUCUGAACAUUUACACUGGUAAAGUAGUUAAGGAAACCGAAUCUGACUCUCCAAGUCACUGUGUAUCCUGGCAACCAGGUUGCUGAUCCCUGGAGCUGUUAUGACCAAAAGAUCUUUUCCUCCUCCUUCUGGCGUUCUGCAUCACACUUCUUUCUAACAGAUCCUCUUUGAAUCUGGACAUCAACGAUCAUUCCACAAAUGUCUACAGGCCAACACCCCGAACUUAAACGAAUUUCUGAUGUCAUUGUUUAAUUAGAAUUCGGGAAAGUAGACAUUGAAAAUUGAUUAUGAAAGGUAACAAUUGAUCAAGGUUAUCUUUUCAAUUGAUAUACAGUAUUUAAAAGCACAAGAAUUAUGACCUGCUGUUUGUCCAUUCAAUUUCAUCAUUUAAGUCUCAUCUUUGCUUUACAAUCUACGGUAUUUGAAUUAAUAGGCAACAAGGUUCCGUUAGAGCAAGGGUGUCAAACGCAUUUUAUGUUUGGGCCAAAGACUGCCCACCUUGAUCUCAACUGGGCCAGACCAUUAAAAUCAUAGGGGGAGGGGGGCGGACGGUCGACUGAGGGAACAGUCAUUUUCAAGCGGAGUAACCUGGAGUAACGUCGGGGUCGAAAAAGGUAUAAUGCACACACUUUUUCGGCUCGCAAGCUACUUUGGACUCAACUCUUCAAGUCAUGGCGAUCUACCCCCCCCCCCUCCCGCUCGGGCAGUUCGCCUCAAUAAUAAUAAUUAACCAAACAACAGUGCUGCAUCCCAGCAAAAAAGCACAACAAGCCUUCUUUAAAAAGAAUGGUCAAAUAGUUGUUUGAAUGGUUGGAACAGUGGAAAGACGAAGCUACAUGUCCAUGGUGAGUAUAGCUUUGUGCCUUCAACCUUGUUUGAAUGAAGUGCGUUUGCGAUGCUCCACCGCCUGAGCAGCUGAUCUUGGACCCCCUGAGUGAGACCCACAGACGACGUUAUGCGUCAUAAAGGACCGAGACAAGAACAAAGACUCAGAGCGGCCGCCUCAUGGACUGUUUGUGUGUCUGUGUUUACGCAUUAGUUUUUCGCAAAGUGAGGACAUUCAUUUUAUUUGACUUUUUGUUGUCAAUUUUUCAUGUCAGUGGCGGCUUUUUACUGUCUCAUCUUGUUUAAGUCAAGGAAAUAAAGGUUGUGGAUGAAUAUAGUUGUCAUAGUUGCAGUAAGAAAAAUGAGGGCUGAUGACAAUCAGGAAACAUUUAUUGCCAAAAUAUGUCAAACAUACAAGGAAUUUGUCUUGGCGGUUGGUGCGUGACAGUAGACACAAGACGACAGUGCACAAGUAAUAAAAUAAAAUGAAAUGCUAAUGCAAUGGGUUAGCAGAAUAGACAAGUGCUGCACAUCAGUUUUCCUCAGGAUGAAUAGAACGCUAUUACUCAUCACAUUGAUAACAAAAAGCCAACUGUUGGACUUUUAUGUUCUACUUCAUGACAGCAUAUGUGUAACAAGAAUACUAAGGCCAAAACAUGUCUCCUAAUCUAUGUGUUCACAUACAUUAACUUGGCUGUCAAAUGAGUUUAACUUUGAAAAUGUUGUUACUGUGAACCUCUGUCACAAUUAUUAUUAUUUAUUUAUUUAUGAAGUGAGUGUAUAUCAUCUGAUGGUCUGGAGGCCCUACACAGAUUCUAAUAACCGAUGUGUGAGCAGGGCCCAGCGGGACCAGGCCACCACAAAAGAACAACUUGACUAGUCACCACUGAGCCUCAGGACGACAGGUAAUUUCACAGCGUAUUGCCAGAUAAACGAGUGUCGUUUUAGAGGGGCACGUUAUCAAGAGCUGCCGUCUUCUCCCUCGGUAAAUUAGACCUUCUAUUGCUUUGUAUCUGCGUUCAUCUGGGAGGGGACUUUGGGCUCUGAUAGGAGAACGCAUAAGCUACUUUUGCUGCCUCAGGCCAACUGCGAGUCAAAAUGACAUUUUUCUAAAAUGUGAUUUAGGGGGAUUAACCAGGUUUUUGAUUAAAUAUCAGAGGUUAAAAUUGAGAGUUUGAUUCCAGAGGAUAAAUUACCACUGCAUUUCCAUUAAUCAUAGUCCCUGUAACAGGCUACUUCACAGCAUAGCACUGUGGGUAAUAGCACAACAUAGUUUCUGUGCAAAAUCACAUGUCUUUCGAUAUCAGAUAGUCUUUUUGAGAAUAGAUACAGCAUCCCAAAAAUUUUGUUGUGAUAUUCAAUUGAAUCAAUAUUUUCUUUCACCUGUAAACUGGCAGAAUAUACCAUGAUAUAACUCAACUUACAUAAAUAUGUACUUCCAGUCUGGCACAGAAACCAACAAACUCCCAACUGUGACACACUAAUGUCUCAAACUCCUUCACGAUGCCGCUACACGUCUCUCAAACACCAGGACGUUUACAGACCGGCAAGCUACAGACAUAAAGGUAUUUUAUGGGUUUGAGUUUCAUGUAGCUGUGCUAUUCAGAGCAUUCAUAUUUCUGAUCCUUGAACUGAUUGAUUUCUUGAUUUAUUUGAAACUAGUAUUUGCCUUACUAUUGAGUGUAUUUUUUACCUUUUAGUUACGGUGAGUUUGAUUUUACAUGAAUUGAUUACAUAUAUUGUUCCAUUGGCCUUCUUACAAAACCUUCAGCUUGUAGUCUUGAUAUUGAUGUCACACAUGGUGGUCUUAUUCUCCUAUAUUCACAGUGUUGUCUAUAGGAGUGGUCCCGUACUGGUACCCAACCAUUAAUUGCCGUGCAAAGCGACUACUUGCCCACCUCCCUCCCUGUCGGCGUUUUUUUCACAAAAUGUUGUCUCUGAAACCGGUCCGUGAGGCAAAAAAGGUUUAGUGACCGCUGGUCUAGCUGUAUAAAAGCCUGCAGUCUGCCACUGAUUCUCUGUCACUUGCUCUAUUCACAUUUGUCCAUGCCUGCAGCCUCCUGUCAACAUCACCCUUACGAUGAAACUCUGUUUGGUGCUGCACAAACAAGUGACAAGUGAAAAAAACAGCAGGGCCGGGAAAGAAAUAACAAAGUGUUUCACGCAACCUUCUGAAUCAGACCCCCAUCCACUGGGAACUAACUUCUUGUGGAUUCAGCUCGGCCUCUAGAGGCCCCGGACUCCGGCGCUGACGGAUAUCCAGGUGGUUGACCGUGAUGGAGAAAGGGCCUAUUAGCAGAUGGACCAGGCACCCUGAAGCUCAUAGGGUCAGCAGGAGACACAAUGCAGCUGAAGGGGGCAACAGGGGCCGUCACCAUCACCACGACAGCCCAAAACGGACCCCCAUGCCCAUGCUAAUCACUAUGAAACCAUAGGCAGAAUCACAAUGACACUGUUUUAGUCAAGUUGCAUUUCCCAAUGUACUUUACUAGUUUAUUCGGAGAAAUUAAUACGGCUUAAGGUACAGUCGGCUCCUGCUUCAGAUGGCAUAAACAAAAUAUGGGAAGUCAAACAAAAGACAAGACUGAAAAGUAUUUCCCCUUUACUGAAAUAAACAUACAUUUCCAACACCGUUGAGAAUUGUUCCUGCCUCACAAGCACACAUGUCCUUGCCAUGUAGAUGACUCCUUUGCAAAGGCAUCUUCGAGCAGACACAACAAUCGUGUCCAUCUUUGAUGCAUUUGUAACGCGUCAAAUCAAUGUGCUCCACGUUACUUUUGCAUAUAUUGUGUAAAUAUUUUCAACUAUUUCUUCUUCAAUACAUUAUUUUUCAAUUCAAUUCUUGAUAUUUAUAUUUCUUUAGACAUUAAAACCAACAGCGUUUCCCUUUUUAGGCAGUGCUAAGUUUUGUAUAGCAGUAAUAGGUCACAGAGACUCAACUGAAGGUAAACAGGUUUGACAGCAGCACUUCCCAUCAGUAACAUGAUGCCAGCAAGAUGGAGGGUCCCUUAAGCCCUUAAAUCUCUCUGUGGAUGACGUCUUUUCGCAACUGCAGCACAUGAGCAAGGCCAAGGUCGACGAUCUGAGGGGUUAGGGGAAGCCAUCACUCAGCCCAGGUCAGGUCUCCUGUGACAGAACAACUUGGGCUGCUUGGUUCUUGGGCUCCUCCAGUUUGACUGAUGAUUUAAGCACCUGCCUUUAUACUGUGGGGUGAGACGGGCUGGUUUUAAACAAGUCACAAGUUUGCUAUGAUACGGACCUGUUUCAAGAAGUGUUUGCUAACCAUUUUCAGUGUGCACUAUAAGUGGCUUAGUAGAGAAUUGGUGCCUAUGUGUGAUUGAGACGCUGAUAAAAAGCCUGCUUGCUUACUAUGGAAACACAGUGUCCAUGGAUCAAUUCCAGUCAGGGACCAACAGGCCUGCUUCUCUCGCCACACACAUUGUGUCUGUUUGCACAGUCAAAUAAUAGUAACAUAUUAUUUCCACUUGACUCAAUGGUAUUUCCCCCGUUAAUUUACAGUAAUCUACUGGCAGCCACAUUUCCUGUAUUUUACUGUAAUUCUAUAGCAUACAUACUCUAAAUCAGUGUUUUUCACUGGUGUGCCGCGAGAGGCUGUCAGGUGUGCCGUGAAAAAAAAUAUUUUUUUACAUACUGUCACUUCAUUGGUGAAAAAAUAAGAGCCAACUUGUGUGUUUGUGUCGUCGCGCUGUUGGUGGUAUGAAGGCUCAAUACUCCCCUCUGCCUGUGGGUGGCGCUACGCAGCGUAAUUAAAAGGCAGAUUUGCUGAGGCGACAAUUUUAAAAAGUGAGAUUAAGAUUAAGGCCGGCGCAUGCUUCUGCGUCUGCGUCGUUGCGUCGACGGACUCGUUUCAAUUCAUGAUUCUUAAAAGUCUCGCGUGUGUUGCAGAGCAAUUCACCUCCAGAACAACAGGCGGAGUGACGUGUUUUUGUUGAAGACGACCUAGAGAGUCACGUCUAUUUAUUAAUUUGUUUAUUUAUUUAUCAUAGACUUUAUUGCCCCGUGCAUCGACACUGCUGCUUUUCAGCGCGGACACAUUUGUCCCGUAUUUUCCUCCACAACUUUGUGCACCUCUCGACCGGCAAACCGGCGUUUGCGGCGAUCUCCCUCCGUGAAUCCGACCCGCUUCUACAAACCGCCAAUGACGGCUUGUAUAAGUGGUCAUAUUUACGCAUUUCUUCCGACAAAAGUUCUGACCCGUUCUCUCGAAAACGUUCUUCAUUUUAAUAAUGGCGGUAUCGGGCUAUGAAAGCCGAAAUGUGAGACUCCGUAAAGGACGUAGUUAGCGGACCAAUCGCAGCCUGGUGCGCUGCGGGACGCAAGCCUAGAAAAAUGGCUCGACACACGCAAGGAUGCAAGGAGGUGUGAAAAGGCACGCAAGGGGGGCUUGCGUCUGCGUCGCUCUGAAAACGCAGAAGCAUAAACUAGGCUUAAGAGGUACCUGGGCAUAAAGCCGGUGCCAUCUUGGCAUUAGGAUGAUGUUAAGUUUAAUAAAACACAACAAAUAGAACACGCGUUUCCCUGAAUUCUUAGAGUAUAUUAUGCUCAUGCUGAAACCAUGUUUGGGAGGGUUUCAUAUCAUUUCCUGUUGUUGGUGUGCCGUGAGAUUUUUUUCUGUGUCUGUGCCUUGACGCAAAAAAGGUUGAAAAACACAGCUCUAAACCGCAUAAUAAAAAAACAGUACAGUGCUGUAUAGAAGCAUUAAACCAUUAUUUUAUUAUUCUUACCAAGAUGCCCAUGAAGUUAAUUACAGUAAAACAUUUUACAAUACUGUAGAAAUGUAUAUUUACAGUAUGACAUGGUUAUAAUUCAUUUUAAAGUGUUACAUUUCAAAAUAAAACCCCUUUUUGAAUUGCUAACAUAAAAAGGACUCAAACAAGACAUAGCGUUUCAAUAAUAUACUUUAAUUAAAGUUAUAGCAGUGUCAAACAAACUUAACAGUAAUCACAUUUUUGAAAAAUACAACAAAUGCAAAGAUAUUCAACACCAAAAAAAAAAGUCCAAGAGGUUUUUUUAUCAGCGUGGCCUCAUGGGAUUGACAGUUGCUGCCUUCUUCUGGUCCAGCUUCCCUGUCCUUGUAGACAGACGGAGACCUGCGAGGCGAGAAAGCACAAAAAACUCUGGGAAAGAAGCUGAAUUGGUGAUGUGCAUUUAUAAAACUGGAUUAUUGUAGGAGUGAGAGUGGAGCACGGUGUGUCCUAAGAAGUCCCCCCUAGUCUAGGCCAAUAGCAGCUUAACUAAGGGCUGGUCUGGGCUAACCUGAGCCAGCCCUAACUAUGAGCGAUAUCACAGAGGAAGCUUAAGCUUAUGCUGACCGAAUCUGCCCCCCAGACUGAAAGUGGAAGCUGGUUCCACAAAAGAGGAGCUUGGUAACUGCAGGCUGUAGUGGUGUACAACUUUUUCAAUAUUUUAAAUUCUUAACUUUAUUCUCUUGUUUAUUACUAACCCAUAGCCUUCUUCUACUAACCCAUUGCAUUAGCAUUUCAUUUUACUUUAUUUUAUUACUUGUGCACUGCUGUCUUGUUGUCUAUUGUUACACUGUCUACUGUCACGCACCAACCGCCAAGACAAAUUCCUUGUAUGUAUGACAUCCGUACAGUUAAAUCAUACAUUUGUUGUUAUCUGUCUUGUUGUCCAUAGUCUUACUGUCUGUAAUACAGGGGUGCCCACACUUUUUCGGCCCGCAAACUACCCCCCUGUCGACCGGUUCCGGUCCGCCCCUCCACCGGCCGUUUGGUUACUACUUAUUAUUAAUAUUUGGGCAAACGGAACAACGAGCAUCUCAUCUCAGCGAGGUAACCAUCACAACUAAGUUAUUCCACACAUUCUUGGUCAUUACCUUACUGACUUGUGUUGAUUGGAGUCAGCCAGGGUUGCUUUUGAAUGAAAUUAAAUGUGUCCAGGGAUCGAUCGCUAAUUAGGCGAUUACUGGCACUGACUUGUCAAUUGGCCUGGUUUAACACAUGCGCUCCCUCACAGUGCAACCCCAAGUGGACUUAUGUGGAAUAGCACCUACCUUUAUAGAAAGGCAAUUUUUGUCUUUGUGUAAUUCUCACGUUAGGAAAAGUAAUCCAGCGGGCUGCAAUGGACCCCACGGCAGGGCCGCGGGUCCAUCCCGUGGGCCUUGCGUCUCAUACCUAUGCACUAGUGGUUUAUUCAGCUGCACAACAAAUUGAACAACCUAUGCUUAUUAAUUAAUUGUUUGAUUAAAAACCCCCAUCAAUUUAAGGCUCAUUAAGACCAAAAUGAUUCUGAUACACUCAUACGAGGGUUUUCUCUUGCUGAGAAAAUUCUGGUAAAGCAAAAACAUCAUACAGCUUAUCCCUGCAUCUUAUUCCCAAAGCAGUUUAGAGGAUUCAUUUUAAAUAGUCAGGAUUUUCAUUUGACUGUUUGUGAAAAUCUUUCCUCAUAAAUUAGCCCCUGGGCUGGUUGUCAUGGCAAUAUGUUACAUUCUUUCAGCAUUAACUCAAGCAGAGAACAGUAAAAAGCGACAUCAUCACAUUUGGCUGUUUUUUUAUUAUCACUAAAGUGCUCAACCGAAGUUUAAAGAAUGCAAAGAUCCUCCUAUCACAUUAAAGGACGCACAAAAAAAACUGCCAAACAACUGAGUACAGAUACAGAACCAAACUGCACUUCAUUUUGCCUCUAAUUACACUAAUGGAAGUCCCUUUGUAGGCCUCAGAGCUUCCAAACCGUGGAACUAAAAGAGGAUAGGCACUCUGCUAAAGGCCCCAUUGUGCUCGGUAAGCCCAGGCUCAGACGGAGAGGGAGACGGGACCAGCUGUAAUUAGUUUAGCCCCCUCUCUGCUUCACAACUUGCCAGGAGAGGGCUUUUGCCCAAUGAAAGGUGUCUCCACGGGGCUCUCCAUCUAAAAUGAGGGUGGAUCAUCUACUGCGGAAGGGGUAAAAGAUCCCCAACCUCUGAUCUGACAUGCUGUGACUAAAUUGGAAGAGGGGGAGUCUCACAGAGACGGUCCGAUGAGCCAAGGGACCUAAUUAUGAAGCAGUAAGUUAGUGAGGUGUGCUCUUGGAUCCUUAGACCAGAGAUAAACAGGUCUAUACUCAGACCUCCUGCAUAUGGUAUUUCAAAAAUCAUUACAUAGUAUUUAGUACAGCAGAACAGAUGAAUUGGAUUACCAACAUUAAGUCAAGUCAAUGUCAUAAGCAUUCUCAAUCAAGAAUGGUACACAAAAUCACCUUUAAAUACUGUGAUUUCUGUAACCAUGUGACACACAUUCCAUUUUCCAUGAGGGAAAUCCUGCCCAUCUGGCGCUUAAAUAGGCUCAAACAAACUAUAAACAUAUCUGUAAUUACUGUUACCAUAUACAAUGGUGACUGCCGUCCAUACGGAAUGGAACAGAGUGCGUAUCGUGGGAAAUAUCCUGCCACAGUCUUCCUGUGUUUGUCUUAACCCUGCCGAACAGAGUUUUCCAUUUAGUUUUUUUUUCCUCCCGCUGUGGAUGUUGUCUUUGGGAGGUGCGUUGUUCACACCUCAGUGACCAGCCUCAAUGGAACCCAACCCGAAGUCGGCCAUUUCUCCCAGCCUUUUGCCCUGAUUGAAUGGAUGCCCUCUCCCCUCAUUUACCCUCUCAAUGAAAGAAAGCCAAAAUAAUCUCCCCUUGCUUUAAUCAGGGGCGCUCAGGAGGAUUGUACAGAACCAGGGUGUUUGUGCUUUUGUACUGGCCUUGACCAUCUUGAAUCUGUUGGCAUUUUCUGGCAAAGUCCACCAUCCGGGACUUUUUUAAUUUGCUCUCUAUUGAUUGUGUUAAUUGGGUUGCGGUGAGAUGCAUCCAGAUUUCCACCCCGAGUUCAGUCAUCUCAAACAUUCAUUGUGUUUUUUACACAUCUCACAAAGGAUGCACUGGCUGUCGCAAUGUAAGCAGUGGGAGGGGAGGAGUGGGAGAGUUUAAGGAGGGGCAUAUAGCAAUAAAAGUACUUUUAACGGUGUGUUUGACAAAGUGUGAGAUGUCUUAUGCUUCACACCAAACGCGAGACAAGCGUUUUGUGCCAUACAAAGUCUAUGCACAGACACAAUGAGACAGGAGUGGCGCAAAUCAGUUUCUUCCGUUGAGUUUGCUGCAAAGUCGACGCAAUUUCAAACACCGCAAAAGGUAAAGUUUCCUCGGCAGAGAAGUUUGGUGUGGCCUGAUGGCCUCCCUUGCUGAGUUGUUGUUAGAGUCACUGCCAGAACUGAGAAGAAUUGCUAACUCUCCAACCGGUAUCCUCACUGCAGUUGUUGGGCUGGUUUUCUGCAGGAAGUUAUGGAGAACACAUGUAGCCUUCACACACUUCUCUGCAACUUCUGGUCAGGCCUCCAUGGCACGCCUGUACAUCCUCCACAGAUAAGACAGGAUCCCAAAGGCAUUCUCCACACCCAGAUGAGCUCUGGAGACACGGUAGUUGAAGAUCCAGCGUUCUCUUGGAAGGAUUUGGCCGGGAAAUUGCCUCAUGAGGUUUUUGUCUUUCAGUGGAAAGGCUUCGUCUGCAACAAAGACAUGUGGCUGAAGUCCUUGAUCCUCAGCUCCUGGUAGUGGCAGGUCAGCAGGCAGUUUUCCAUCCAGUGCUCCACAGCAGAGAGGAAAAUUCCACCGCUGCUCAUACUGCACAGCAAUUUACCUCCAGUCCUUUGUGGUGGGCACAUCCAUGAACUCCACAAGGCAGUCCUAAAUAGCUGUGGCAACAUCUGGGACAAUACUGGAGACAGUGGAGACCCCAACAUGGAAGAUGUUGGCAAUCGUCGUGAAUGAUUCACCAGCAAGAUAUCUGCAGCACAGAAAAACAUUACAUUUAAAUUAGUUUUAUUGAAGAUACUGCUAAGAUAAGUGCUAUGAGAAUAAUCACAAGUGGCAUAGUUACAUUCAAAGCCCUUAUUAAUUUCAGGCUUUCAUGAAUUUCAUUUCAUUGAACGUCCACACACCGGAGACAGCCGCUCUUCAGCAGAAACAUAACGCCUGGACAAGCGACAAAUUCGGUACCCGACCCAGGCCAACCAAGCUGGAUGGUUACUAAUUAAGCAAAUUUUCAGCCAGACUUUGCAGUUCUCUUUGAUUUGUGAAUGCUGCCAAAUCGCCAAGGACUUGGAUGUCAAUAGAAUGGUAUGGGUACUCAAUUGGACUCAGGUAGCAGAGGUGUCAAUCUAUUCACAAAACGAUGGAAGAUUUUAUACCAAUAAAUGGACAAAAACCAGGAACAAUAUUCCUGGUAUAUUCCUGCUAUUUUAAUGAAAUAUAAAAUGCAGUCAUGUCAUUGAUCAUCAUUGGGAUAAAACAUAGGCCAACAUACUACUUCUGGCCCACAGAGGACAACAUCUUCCAUGCUCAUCUGAGUCUCCUGUUUUAUCUUCUUUUUUUUUACCAGGCUAACACUUAACUUCAUCUCUCUCAUCAGCUGAAAUCUCCAAACUAGAGAAUCUAUUCUGCUUGAGUUCCAACUCUUUCAACAAUGUUGAGUUAUUAAAUACAUUCAUUUGGUUCUGAAAUCCACUACAAUUGAAAUUUUGAAAACCAAUAUUAUGUUGUAAAACAAAAUAAAGUGCUUUAAAAUAUAUCACUCUUGACAUGUUAAUUAAUAAGAAAAUAUACAAAUGUCAUAGUGAACCCGUGCAGUGCAGUUUUUGUACUGUUUCCCAAAACCAUCACCAAACAACAAAAAGACAACUAAACAAUCCUUUGGAACAACACAGAUCAACAACAGCUUCAUAAGGUUGCCAUUCAAAUUUUAAUAACGUUUUGUCAUGAACCAACUUCUUAGUAAUUGGGACAACUGCUGUAGAGCAGGGUUGUCGUUCAAUCAUAGGAUCGGUGGUUCGACCCCUAGCUCCACUUUUCCGUUUCAAUGUGUCCGUGGGCGAAACAUUAACCCCAAAUUACUCCUGUAGAUUGUGGCUGUAUAAAGAGGUAGGAACAGUAAGCAUCCUCGUGGGCAGGUGACCCCAUGCAUGUUAGCCAUGGGGGUGAAUGGGUGAAUAAUGUCAUGUACAGUUGAAGCACUUUUCCGGCAGUAGUCUACCAACUAUCCACCAGUGAAUCUAAGUCAUCUCCGCAACUGUGUCAAUCCUGUCCAAAAGUCAACUUAUUGAACAAAUAAACAGAAAUAAUUAUUUUGCUGUUUUUUAGCUAACAAGAUGGUCUGCUUCAAUGCAUGUUUGUUGGCAUUAAGUCAAAAAAAUGUUUUUAAAAGAAUCCAGCAGUUCCAGACUGCACCGCAAACAAUCGCAUUAAGGAGCUCCACAUGUCGAGGGUGCAGAGUAACUCUGCUGCUUUUCUCACAGAGAAGUCCCGGAAGAUUUAACUGGAUAAUGGUAUUGGUUUCCCAUCAGCGCGGGAGCAGGAAGACCACAGUGGAUGAGCUGUGAGGACGGCCUCCCCCUGUCUUUGCUCUGUUGGCCGCUUCUUGAAUGAGUAAUUAUUCCUUAAGUCCACCCACCCAGGCAACAAAAAUAGAAUUGAUUUCCCAUUAUGUGAAACAUUGCACCUGCUGGGCAGGUCCUGUCAGGGUGACCAGGCAGCAAGCAGACAUGUCUAACCCAGGAGCCUGGCACUGGGUGUGAGCUGUCCGUACAGUGUUAUUGAUGUGAUCCCGUCAUUUCCAAAAACAAAGCAGACGCGCCGUUGUUACAC